UACGGAGGGUGCAAGCGUUAUCCGGAUUCACUGGGUUUAAAGGGUGCGUAGGCGGGUUGGUAAGUCCGUGGUGAAAUCUCCAAGCUUAACUUGGAAACUGCCGUGGAUACUAUCAAUCUUGAAUAUAGUGGAGGUGAGCGGAAUAUGUCAUGUAGCGGUGAAAUGCUUAGAUAUGACAUAGAACACCCAUUGCGAAGGCAGCUUACUACAGGGACAUUGACACUGAGGCACGAAAGCGUGGGGAUCAAACAGG
rnacentral:rRNA from 1 species